AUUGGAUCAAUUUCAAUGAAAUAAGGCCAGAGAUAUGAUUCGCACCAAAAUGGGUGGAUAUUGGAUCAAUUUCUAUGAAAUUUUGCCAGAUUAUUUUGUUGCAGAACAUGAUAUUGUCCAAGAUUCUGUCAGGCAGUGUAUCUUGUGUUUUUGAUGGACUUUAUUAUUUUAGUUUGAUGGACUUGACCAGAUCAGAUACAUAUUGUAUUAGGAAAAUAAAAUUUAAGGUGGUCACUGCGCCAUUCAGUAUCCAAA